ACACUUUCUUUGCCCUUGUAGCUUAGAUAAAGUGUAGUAUCUUCUCCUUUCAGUUUAAUUUCUGAAAACCUUUCUAAGGAACGAGAUAUUAAUCUAGUCUUUGGAUUCUGUGGAAAGGCCUCUGUGCUUACACAUGUCCUACCAUACAGUGUCAUCGGGCUUACACAACCCCCAAUAGACGCGAAGACCC
rnacentral:snRNA from 1 species